GCCUAACACAUGCUAGUCGAGCGGAGACAUUUGAAAAGCUUGCUUUUUGGAUGUUUCAGCGGCGGACGGGUGAGUAACGCGUGAGCAACCUGCCUUUAACAGGGGGAUAACGCAUCGAAAGAUGUGCUAAUACCGCAUAAGACCACAACGCUACAUGGCGAAGGGGUCAAAGGAGCAAUCCGGUUAAAGAUGGGCUCGCGUCCGAUUAGCUAGUUGGUGAGAUAACAGCCCACCAAGGCGACGAUCGGUAGCCGACCUGAGAGGGUGAUCGGCCACAUUGGAACUGAGAUACGGUCCAGACUCCUACGGGAGGCAGCAGUGGGGAAUAUUGGGCAAUGGGCGAAAGCCUGACCCAGCAACGCCGCGUGAGGGAAGAAGGGUUUCGGCUCGUAAACCUCUGUCCUAUGGGACGAAGGAAGUGACGGUACCAUAGGAGGAAGCCCCGGCUAACUACGUGCCAGCAGCCGCGGUAAUACGUAGGGGGCGAGCGUUGUCCGGAAUGAUUGGGCGUAAAGGGCGCGUACGCGGCCUGAUAAGUCUGGAGUGAA
rnacentral:rRNA from 1 species